AUUGAACGCUGGCGGCGUGCUUAACACAUGCAAGUCGAACGAGUAGCGAACGGGUGAGUAAUACGUGAGUAACCUGUCCUCUUUUUGGGUUAAGCCUUGGAAAAGGGGUCUAAUACCGAAUAAAGGGGGAUGGGCUCGCUGUCUAUCGGCUGGUUGGGGGGGUGAGGGCCUACCAAGGCGGUGACGGGUAGCCGGGCUGGGAGGGUGACCAGACACAUUGGGACUGAGACACGGCCCAGACUCCUACGGGAGGCAGCAGUGGGGAAUAUUGCACAAUGGGCGAAAGCCUGAUGCAGCGACGCCGCGUGAAUGAAGAAGGCCUUCGGGUUGUAAAGUACUUUCGGCAGCGAGGCGGUAACUACAGAAGAAGCACCGGCUAACUCCGUGCCAGCAGCCGCGGUAAUAC
rnacentral:rRNA from 1 species